rnacentral:misc_RNA from 1 species
UAGAUCUGUCUUUGGACUUGUGAAUGCCAUUCGUGUUCUGUUUACCAUUCUGAACCUUUGUUUUGGCUAUGACGGGGAUAUUCAAAUCUUCUUUGUGAUAACCCAAGCUGUGUCGAUGCCGAGCACAAUGUUUCCCCACCUCAUCUUUAGAUGACUGGAUUGCAUCACUGCAGCUCUUUCUCCGGUUUAGUUUUGGUGACACUGGCCGAGUCAGUGGCAGCUUUUUGAGUUCAACCUUAGGUGGAGGUGGUUCAUAGUAGAAACUAGGAACGGGUUUUGCUUUGACCACCAUGCUCUUUCUAAGCUGUUUGAUGGCUGCUUGUUGCUCUUCCUUGGACCUUGCCUCAGCCUGAUUCCGCUCUGCUUCCAAAGCUAGGUGCUUUUCUUCGAGUUUUGAGUAAAACUCCUUUCGUCUCUCUGCACGUUCAGCAGAUCUAAAGGUAGGAGCUGUUCCAAUGGUUACAGAUUUAACAGUUCUCACUGAUGCAGCAGUAGAGGAUGCGACAGACCAAUUAUCUUCUUCAUCAGGAAGCUUCUU